GUUUCGUCUGCUUCCUUUGCCUCAUCCUGACCACUCUUGGAAGAGGUGGCAGAACCUCUGGAAGAGUCAGCAAAGUCUCCUAGGCCCAUUACUUCGUCAAACACUCUGGACAAGCGCUCCUCAUGCUGUAUAGACGCCGCGCUUCCAAACGCCCACCUCCUCUGAGGCUUAUGGGUCAUGUAUGCCAACCGCUAACAACAACAAAGAUGCCGGACUUCGACGAGGUGACAAGCUAGCGUUGCCCACUGGAGUGAGGAUACCUGUUUUUUUAAGGUGUUCAACUGAUUGUCCCUGCACGCUGUCUCCCUGCUGACCGUCUCCUCGCUUACAGCUCCAACACUGCACGUGUUGUCCGUCAGAUCAAACUGGUCAUGGUCAA